rnacentral:rRNA from 1 species
UAAUACGGAGGGUGCAAGCGUUGUCCGGAUUUAUUGGGUUUAAAGGGUGCGUAGGCGGCCCGGUAAGUCAGUGGUGAAAGCCUCCAGCUCAACUGGAGAACUGCCAUUGAUACUGCCGGGCUUGAGUACAGACGAGGUUGGCGGAAUUGAUUGUGUAGCGGUGAAAUGCAUAGAUACAAUCAAGAACUCCGAUUGCGUAGGCAGCUAACUAGGCUGUAACUGACGCUGAGGCACGAAAGCGUGGGGAGCGAACAGGAUUAGAUACCCUGGUAGUCCACGCCGUAAACGAUGAUUACUCGAUGUUGGCGAUAAACUGUCAGCGUCUUAGCGAAAGCGUUAAGUAAUCCACCUGGGGAGUACGCCCGCAAGGGU